rnacentral:rRNA from 1 species
UGAUUAUUGAAAGGUGCUUGCAUCUUGAUUUAAUUUUGAACGAGUGGCGGACGGGUGAGUAACACGUGGGUAACCUGCCCUUAAGUGGGGGAUAACAUUUGGAAACAGAUGCUAAUACCGCAUAAAUCCAAGAACCGCAUGGUUCUUGGCUGAAAGAUGGCGUAAGCUAUCGCUUUUGGAUGGACCCGCGGCGUAUUAGCUAGUUGGUGAGGUAACGGCUCACCAAGGCAAUGAUACGUAGCCGAACUGAGAGGUUGAUCGGCCACAUUGGGACUGAGACACGGCCCAAACUCCUACGGGAGGCAGCAGUAGGGAAUCUUCCACAAUGGACGCAAGUCUGAUGGAGCAACGCCGCGUGAGUGAAGAAGGCUUUCGGGUCGUAAAACUCUGUUGUUGGAGAAGAAUGGUCGGCAGAGUAACUGUUGUCGGCGUGACGGUAUCCAACCAGAAAGCCACGGCUAACUACGUGCCAGCAGCCGCGGUAAUACGUAGGUGGCAAGCGUUAUCCGGAUUUAUUGGGCGUAAAGCGAGCGCAGGCGGUUUUUUAAGUCUGAUGUGAAAGCCCUCGGCUUAACCGAGGAAGUGCAUCGGAAACUGGAAAACUUGAGUGCAGAAGAGGACAGUGGAACUCCAUGUGUAGCGGUGAAAUGCGUAGAUAUAUGGAAGAACACCAGUGGCGAAGGCGGCUGUCUGGUCUGUAACUGACGCUGAGGCUCGAAAGCAUGGGUAGCGAACAGG